rnacentral:lncRNA from 1 species
GGCUGCGUUACCACCGACCAGUCCUCAGCCGGCAACAUGAAGCUGGGUGGCCUCUGCCUCCUGCUCCUCCUCGCCGUCCUUCUCACCCUCAAUGCAGAGUUCCAAGCAGUUGAUGUAGGUAUCUGUGUGACGGAGUGCAAGGUAGACCAGGACUGUGGGGCAGGAAGACGAUGCACCAGCAAUGGAUGUGGCCGGGUCUGCUCCCCAGUCCGGCGAAGAGAGGCCUGCGAGCACCAGUGCAGAGAAGACAGGGACUGUGGGAGUGGACAUCAGUGCGUGAGGAAGGGCUGUGGGCACGUCUGCGCCCCCGUCCAUCAAGUCGAUGUAGGUAUCUGUGUGACGGAGUGCAAGGUAGACCAGGACUGUGGGGCAGGAAGACGAUGCACCAGCAAUGAAUGUGGCCGGGUCUGCUCCCCAAUCCAGCGAAGAGAGGCCUGCGAGCACCAGUGCAGAGAAGACAGGGACUGUGGGAGUGGACAUCAGUGCGUGAGGAAGGGCUGUGGGCACGUCUGCGCCCCCGUCCAUCAAGUCGAUGUAGGUAUCUGUGUGACGGAGUGCCGUGUAGACCAGGACUGUGGGGAAGGAAGACAAUGCACCAGCAAUGGAUGUGGCCGUGUCUGCUCCCCAGCCCAGCAAAGAGAGGCCUGCGAGCACCAAUGCAGAGAAGACAAGGACUGUGGGAGUGGACAUCAGUGCGUGAGGAAGGGCUGUGGGCACGUCUGCUCCCCCAUCCCUCAAGUAGGUAUCUGUGUGACGGAGUGCAAUGUAGACCAGGACUGUGGGGCAGGAAGACGAUGCACCAGCAAUGGAUGUGGCCGUGUCUGCUCCCCACCCCAGGGAGGAGGACUCUGUGUGGACCGCUGCCGAGGAAACUGGGACUGUGGGGCCGGAGAAGAAUGUAUCAGGAAGGGAUGUGGACGGGUCUGCUCUCCAGCCCAGGAGCCAGUGGUAGGUAUCUGUGUGGAUCAGUGCCAAAGACACUGGGAAUGUGGUCCACGGAUGCGGUGUGUCUCCACUGGAUGUGGCCACAUCUGCUCACCAGCCCAAGACCAAGGUAAGAGGUGCAAGCCUUGCCUUCCAAGCCCCUGACUGACUGAAUGCUUGGCUCUG